rnacentral:rRNA from 1 species
UCUCCGUUGGUGAACCAGCGGAGGGAUCAUUACCGAGUUUACAACUCCCAAACCCCUGUGAACAUACCUAUUUGUUGCCUCGGCGGUGCCUGUUCCGACAGCCCGCCAGAGGACCCCAAACCCUGAUUACAUUUAAGAAGUCUUCUGAGUAAACCGAUUAAAUAAAUCAAAACUUUCAACAACGGAUCUCUUGGUUCUGGCAUCGAUGAAGAACGCAGCGAAAUGCGAUAAGUAAUGUGAAUUGCAGAAUUCAGUGAAUCAUCGAAUCUUUGAACGCACAUUGCGCCCGCUAGUAUUCUGGCGGGCAUGCCUGUCCGAGCGUCAUUUCAACCCUCAAGCCCCCGGGCUUGGUGUUGGGGAUCGGCGAGCCUCCGCGCCCGCCGUCCCCUAAAUCUAGUGGCGGUCUCGCUGUAGCUUCCUCUGCGUAGUAGCACACCUCGCACUGGGAAACAGCGCGGCCACGCCGUUAAACCCCCAACUUCUGAACGUUUGACCUCGGAUCAGGUAGGAAUACCCGCUGAACUUAAGCAUAUCAAU